rnacentral:rRNA from 1 species
AUGGUGUUUUUCCCUGCAAGUACUUGGGACUUCCUCACUGCCUUUGCACCGGGCAAAUGGGCAAUAAAAAAGUUUGACAAACUUAGAAGAAACUUCCUUUGGAACGCUGACGAAGAGGCUCAUGGUGGUAAAUGUUUAGUCAAGUGGAAGCGAAUUUGUGCACCUAAAGAUGUGGGCGGCCUCGGGAUCAAGGACUUGGAGGCCUAUAGCCGAGCCCUCCGGUUAAGGUGGCAGUGGUUUGAAUGGGAACCCACGGACAGACCGUGGAAAGGUGCUAGCAUUCCCUGUGACUCCUCUGACCGUCAGCUUUUCGCCUCCUGCAUAAAGAUUACCGUGAGAAACGGGAGCAAAACAUCCUUCUGGAUGGAUAAAUGGCUUGAUGGCAAUGCAACAAAAGAUUGUUUCCCAGCUCUCUUUGCCCUUUCUCGCUCAAAAUCGAGCUCGGUCAGGCAUGCUCUACAUGAUGACAGAUGGAUGAGAGGCCUAAACAGGAUGGACGGAGCUGCUGAAUUGGAGGAAUUCCUAUGCUUAUGGACGAAGGUGCAGGACAUCCUCGACAACAUGAAUGAGGACUUGAUUGAAUGGACUCUCACCACCAACAAUGUUUACUCAGCCAAAUCGGCUUAUGACAUCCAGUUCAAGACAAGAAUCCCAAUCCCGGCCCUGGCUAAUGUUUGGAAGAUCAAGGCUGAAGGCAAAGUAAAAAAAUUCAUGUGGACGCUCUUGCAGAAUCGGCUAUAG